UCCAGACUCCUACGGGAGGCAGCAGUGGGGAAUAUUGCACAAUGGGGGAAACCCUGAUGCAGCAACGCCGCGUGAGUGAAGAAGUAUUUCGGUAUGUAAAGCUCUAUCAGCAGGGAAGAAAAUGACGGUACCUGAGUAAGAAGCCCCGGCUAACUACGUGCCAGCAGCCGCGGUAAUACGUAGGGGGCAAGCGUUAUCCGGAUUUACUGGGUGUAAAGGGAGCGUAGACGGCGAUGCAAGUCUGAAGUGAAAGCCCGGGGCUCAACCCCGGGACUGCUCUUGGAACUGCGCGGCUGGAGUGCAGGAGGGGCAGGCGGAAUUCCUGGUGUAGCGGUGAAAUGCGUAGAUAUCAGGAGGAACACCGGCGGCGAAGGCGGCCUGCUGGACUGCGACUGACGUUGAGGCCCGAAAGCGUGGGGAGCAAACAGGAUUAGAUACCCGUGUAAC
rnacentral:rRNA from 1 species